GGACCACAGUAACUCAGCGUCGCGUCCACACGCGAUAUUAUUCCUGUGAAUUUGUUAGUUACAAUCACAGGAUAAUACUGCGAGUGGCUGCGUCGCGUCUCAUCGAUCACUACU
rnacentral:precursor_RNA from 12 species